rnacentral:misc_RNA from 1 species
ACAUCCUCAACCUGCUUGGUUUUAUCGAACCAAGUAGGCUUGGAAUUUGGAGGUUUUCUGCUGGCCUCCUCCGAAGCCAGCUCCUCUUAAAUGUAUCAGUGGGAUCCGCUUUGCUAGAUCCUCGACGUUGAUAAGAUGUUUCUACGUCUUGGGUUUCGCUCGGGAAGGAUCCUGCUUCUAACCGUCCCAUCGGGGACAAUGUUCGAGCCGAUCGCCCUUCACGGGGUGGGAAGCUUUCGACCCAUGAAA